UACGAGGGGGGCAAGCGUUGUUCGGAUUUAUUGGGCGUAAAGGGUGCGUAGGCGGUUUGGCAAGUCUGAUGUGAAAUCUAUGGGCUCAACCCAUAGUCUGCAUCAGAAACUGCCGGGCUGGAGUGUGGGAGAGGUGCGUGGAAUUCCUGGUGUAGCGGUGAAAUGCGUAGAUAUCAGGAGGAACACCUGUGGCGAAAGCGGCGCACUGGACCACAACUGACGCUGAGGCGCGAAAGCUAGGGGAGCAAACAGG
rnacentral:rRNA from 1 species